rnacentral:rRNA from 1 species
AACGAACGCUGGCGGCAGGCUUAACACAUGCAAGUCGAACGGGUGUAGCAAUACAUCAGUGGCAGACGGGUGAGUAACACGUGGGAACCUUCCUAGGGGUACGGAACAACUCAGGGAAACUUGAGCUAAUACCGUAUACGUCCGUGAGGAGAAAGAUUUAUCGCCCUUAGCCGGGCCCGCGUCGGAUUGGGUAGUUGGUGGGUUAACGGCCUACCAAGCCUACGACCCGUAGCUGAUCUGAGAGGUUGAUCAGCCACACUGGGACUGAGACACGGCCCAGACUCUUACGGGAGGCAGCAGUGGGGAAUCUCGGACAAUGGGCGAAAGCCUGAUCCAGCCAUGCCGCGUGAGUGAGGAAGGCCUUAGGGUUGUAAAGCUCUUUUGCCAGGGACGAUAAUGACGGUACCUGGAGAAUAAGCCCCGGCAAACUUCGUGCCAGCCGCCGCCGUAAAAC